rnacentral:lncRNA from 1 species
AAUGGAGAACAUUUACAGAGGACUGUGGGUAAAGCAAAGUCUUCAAGGGAAGAUAACAAAGGAUGAAACAAUGGUGUUGUGUGACUUCCUAGUGUGAAUCAUGGCAAUACAGUGAAAGACAGUGAUUUACUGCUUUUGAGGGCGUGCAUGUAUAUGAUUAACGGAUGGAAGUGCAGGACUCCAAGAUUUACUUCCUUCCCUUUCCAGCAGAAUUACCUGAGACGAGUAAAAUCUACUGGUGGAGUCACUCCAUUAUUCUUAUCUGUGGAGAUCUAGAUCUUGAUUUGAAAGUUUCUGAGAAAAUCUUCAGCUCAGACUUGAGGGUCAACUUUACCAGCUGAAGGAUCUGCAUUUACUGCUCAACCACAUCUAAUUUGAUGUCCUCUGCAGAUUUAAAAUGUGUGCCUUCUUUUCCGUCACCAAGUCAUCCCUGGGUUACUACUGAACAUCCUUCUCAAUUCCCCCCGACCCAUGGAUGGCUGUUCUCCAUUGUCUGUUUCACCAGAUGUCCUCAAAACAAACAGACAGAAGAAGGAAGUGGCUAAUGGAGCUGUGGAGUCCAAGUGUGACUGCCAAGAGGAAUCCAGCAAAGCCAAAAAGCCCAAGCAUGUAGCCCUGCCCGAAGCACGCCACACGCAUGGAAAACCCAGAGGAAAUGAGUGAGGAUCAAUGGGAAGAAGAGAGCCAGCCAGGAAGUUGAAGAUUUGUCCAGGAGCAGAUAGCUGAAGAGAGAGAGAGAGAAGAGAGAACGGCUUACAGCUCAGGUCCUCUCUCCAUGCUUAGGAACCACUACAAAUGCUACUGCCUUGAGUCUCAUUUUGUUUCCCUCUGGAAACCACAUGUGUACCUUGUUUGCAACAGUAUGGGGCACCGAGGAAGAGAACCAAUGGCAGAGGCCACAUGUGCAAGCAAGAUGGGAGUCUGGAGAGCCUCAGGCUAAAUCACGAGUGCUCAGCCCUCUCCUCUUUGUAAGGGCAACCGGGUCAUAUCUGCCAGCAUAGAACUGCUCUGUCCACAGCCCUAAAAUCUAAUACCUAGAACAAUAAAUGCACUUAAGCACGU